ensembl:lncRNA
AGCAAGAUACUCGGUGACCUCCAAAAUAAGAACGUGCCUUUGAUAUGCAGCUACAUCAUGUUGGUUCUCACUGCUCACCCUGAGACUUUAGAACUCAACUGCUGAGAUGUCCCUGCCCAACUGAAUAUUUCUUGCAACGAGUAAUCCUGAAUGAUAAUUUCAUCUGACUGCCUUGAAACUUGUCUCAAGGGUCAGACUGUGCAAAGGGGAAAAAAAAUCCAUCAAGACACAGAUUCUGCCAUUCAUAUCUGAAGCUUGAAAGUGGAAUCAGUGAAACUGCCUAUCAAUUGACAGUGGCAGAAACUUCUGUCUAUAAAGCAAGGAGAAUAGAGCCCUCAAGAAGCACAUAUAAGCAAAUAUAACAUUCUCGAUCUCCCACCUGAAGACUGAAAAAAGGGAAGGAGAUUGUAUCUCAUACUUAGCACUACAAUACGAAGAAUAAUGAAGAUAUGCACAGUGAAGGCUCUUUAGUUUGCAUGAGAAACACUGCUUCCUGUGUGUCAGUGCAGACAGGCCAGGAAAUCCCUUUUGUUGGGUGUUUGCUGACUGAUUUUUGACAUGAAGCACUCUGAUCAUGAACUGCUCAGGCAGAUUUGUGCUAGGAAAGUGUGCAUCACAAUACUUUAUUGGAAAGGCAGCUGACAGUGUGCAAAUAUCAGGGAUUUUGAGCUCUGUCUGUGUUGGUGUGUACAAGUGAGAGGAUUUUACUGUGUAUUUUUCUUAGGUUGCUUUUCCCAUAUAGGAUAUAGCCAUAUUUUGCAAUUUGAUAGAUCUGGUUUUCUGUGAGUCUCGCUCUUGAGUCCAGUUUGUUAUGCAAGUCAUGCCUGAUGGCAUCUCAGGGAGCUCCAUUAGAGGAGAACAGGCUGGUGGACAUUUUUCACAUAUCCAUCGAUCGAUGGGACUGCUGUAUCAUUUGAAAUGCUGAUCUAAUGAGAGGUGUUAUCCUCUCCAGUACAUGACUCCCAGCCAACAAAAUGGAAAUUAUAAUCUUAUGCUGGAAGUCUCUGCAAUAAGCAUCAGACCAGGCAGAAGAAAAUACAGCUGGCUAUAACUUUUUAUUCCAGGCCUAUAAAUUGGUUUGCACACAACACAGCAAACUCAAGUCAAAUACUUGCCAUUAUGCUGUCUCACCAAUAAAGUGAAACCUCACCCAAUGCAAUUGGCUUGCAUUAACAUACACUCAGCUGGUUGCCUGGCCCAUCAAAAUCUCCCUCUGUGAAAUCUGUUCUACAUUCUUCUUCCAUUUUUUUCCACUUCUAUUACGUGAGAGUUUUGCAAUCAUACAUAUCCUUAAAAUGAUUCUAGAGGAUCAUGAUGAUAUGAGAGGUAAUGGCCUUAAGUUGCACCAGCAGAGGGGUUCAGGUUGGAUAUUAGGAAAAGUUUCUAUUCGGAAAGUGGUGAGGCAUUGGCACAGGCUGCCCAGGGAGGUGGUGGAAUCACCGUCCCUGGAAGUGUUCAAGAAACGAGGAGAUACGGCACUGAGGGUCAUGGUUAGUGGGCAUGGUGGAAAUGGGUUGACAGCUGGACUAAAUUUACUGGCAGGUAGAAUGAGAGGUGAAAUUGCAGAGCAGGGCUGUUGCCAGGACUUGGUGGCACCAUCUUGUCGACUCCUUUCAAGGGACCCAGAGGUCUGGUACUUAUCUAAGCAGCACAUUUUCUCUCUGUUUUGCCACAGCUCUGUAAAGUCAUCACUUGUAACUCAGAAGAAACAUGGAUAACUUGUUUUUAAAAUAAGAAAAAUAAAAGUAAAUAUUUCCUUUACAAAGACUGCUUUCUUUGUGUGGGUGUGAACCCACAUUGAGUGGAGAGUGUAAUAACAAUAUCCUUCCAAUUUCUGUGCAAAAAAUAAAUAUGC